rnacentral:rRNA from 1 species
GAUGAACGCUGGCGGCGUGCCUAAUACAUGCAAGUCGAGCGAACGGACGAGAAGCUUGCUUCUCUGAUGUUAGCGGCGGACGGGUGAGUAACACGUGGAUAACCUACCUAUAAUACUGGGAUAACUUCGGGAAACCGUAGCUAAUACCGGAUAAUAUUUUGAACCGCAUGGUUCAAAAGUGAAAGACGGUCUUGCUGUCACUUAUAGAUGGAUCCGCGCUGCAUUAGCUAGUUGGUAAGGUAACGGCUUACCAAGGCAACGAUGCAUAGCCGACCUGAGAGGGUGAUCGGACAAACUGGAACUGAGACACGGUCCAGACUACUACGGGAGGCAGCAGUAGGGAAUAUUCCGCAAUGGGCGAAAGCAUGACGGAGCAACGCCGCGUGAGUGAUGAAGGUCUUCGGAUCGUAAAACUCUGUUAUUAGGGAAGAACAUAUGUGUAAGUAACUGUGCACAUCUUGACGGUACCUAAUCAGAAAGCAACGGCUAACUACGUG